GCGCGAUGUGGGACACCAACUUGACCAUGUACUACUGGAGUAAUACUACAGUACUCUAUAUAUAUAUAUACACUACUCUCUACCUGUCUGUCUUUGACUAACGGUUUGUAUCUAUGUCUCUCUACAUGUCUGUCUCUCUCUCUACAUGUCUGUCUCUCUCUCUACAUGUCUGUCUCUCUCUCUCUCAUGUCUGUCUCUCUCUCUCUCAUGUCUGUCUCUCUCUCACUCAUGUCUGUGUCUCUCUCUACAUGUCUCUCUCUCUCUACAUGUCUCUCUCUCUCUCUCUACAUGUCUGUCUCUCUCUCUACAUGUCUGUCUCUCUCUCUACAUGUCUGUCUCUCUCUCUCUACAUGUCUGUCUCUCUCUCUACAUGUCUCUCUCUCUCUACAUGUCUGUCUCUCUCUCUCUCUCUACAUGUCUGUCUCUCUCUCUACAUGUCUGUCUCUCUCUCUCUACAUGUCUGUCUCUCUCUCUCUACAUGUCUGUCUCUCUCUCUACACGCCUGUCUGCAGGUUCGACGCGGUCACCCAUAACUGCUACACCUACUGCCUGGGCUUCAUCAACCGGGUCCUGGAGGUCGAAGGUCGCGGGCCCCUGACCCCGGAGCAGUUCACCGAGCGCUACGUCUUGCCACGCACCACCAGGGCGCACAGGUUCAACGGCCUCCUUCAGGUCCUCAAGAAGAAGCCCUACCACCUGCUGGAGAGACAGACGGGUAGCGAGAGAGGCAGCCUGGCAGGGAGCGACACAGGCAGCCAGGUCAAGAGUGAGACAGGCAAGUAGAGAGAGAGAGACUGGUAGCGAGAGAGAGACAGGCAAGUAGAGAGAGAGAGACUGGUAGCGAGAGAGAGACAGGCAAGUAGAGAGAGAGAAACGGGUAGUGAGAGAGAGACAGGCAAGUAGAGAGAGAGAGACGGGUAGUGAGAGAGAGACAGGCUUUUAGAGUAUGGUGACUUCCUAUAUCACUACCAUAUGACACUACUGUCCUAUACUACUACCAUACUACUAUAUAUGAUACUACUGCCCUAUACUACUACCAUAUGAUACUACUGCCAUAUACAGUAUACUACUACCAUAUGAUGCUACUAUACAUGAUACAAAAUCCUAUAGUACCAGAUGACACUACUGUCCUAUACUACUACCAUAUGAUACUACUAUAUAUGAUACUACUGCCCUAUACUGCUACCAUAUGAUACUACUGCCAUAUACUACUACCAUAUGCUACUACUGUCCUAUAAUACUACCAUAUAGGACACUACUAUCUUAUACUACUACCAUAUGAUACUACUAUACAUGAUACGACAUCCUAUAGUACCAUAUGAUACUACUGUCCUAUACCACUACCAUAUGAUACUACUGCCCUAUACUACUACAAUAUGAUACGACAUCCUAUACUACCAUAUGAUACUUCUGUCCUAUACUACUACCAUAUGAUACUACUGCCAUACACUACUACCAUAUGAUACUACGGUCCUAUACUACUACCAUAUGAUACUACUGCCAUACACAACACUAUUACUAAGUGAUAAUAUUAUUAUUAUGCACGUUCAUAAUGUUCUUUCCCACUCAUUAUUACAAUAGCUCUGUCUGACAGUCUGUCUCUCAUGCCGAAGAGAAGGUGGUCUUUUCUGAAUACCCCUGAAGGCCAACUCUUUUCUGUGUGAAGUAGCAGGCAACGAAAAUGCGUUCAGGACAUACGGCUAGGGGACAUUUUCAGUCGUUUAGAGUGGAGGUUGUGAUGCAUAAGGGCAUACACACGUGUGUGCCCUUAUGAACGUGAACGUGUGGCACACUUUAUGGUGCCCGUGUCGGGGUUUGAAACUGUUGUCACCCUAUAUGGGAGAGAGAG
ensembl:lncRNA